UUAAAAGAGACAAAAAAGAGACAAGGAGAAACAAAGAUCGGUGAGGUUAGGAUCAACUAAUGAUGGUGGGGAGGAAGUGUUUUGAUAUUUGGGGAAAGCUAGCAGUGCAUCUUUCGAGAAAUCUGAAAAAAAAAAAAAAUUAUUAUGUGGUCACAUUGAGUGUCAAUUCAAAAUUGAGCAAUUGAGAGCGUUUAUUUAUAUUUUUAAAAAUCUUUUUUUUUUUUUAACAAUAAAUGAAAAAGGAAUUCUCCAUAUGAAUAAAUUAUUCAAUAAAAAUUAAUCUUUAAACAUAUUGUGUUAUAUUGAGAAUAAAUAUAUUGAGAUAUAUUUUAACGAAUUAGUGUCUGUUUAUAAUUGACAGCUUUCUUAAAAGAAGGAUGUUUGAAAUAAGCCAAUUUAACUUUUGGAUAAUGUGUUUGAAUCCCGCAACACUCCACCCAAAAACACUAUGAUACAUUCAUCCUGUUAUAUAAGGGUGUAUGUUACAGCACUGCUUGAAUUCCCUCACUGUCUUUAAAAAAAGUAAGCGAAUAGAAGAGAACAUCAUGUUUACUAGGGACAAAUACGUAAUCAUAAAGUAAUGAAACAGAAAAUAAAUAUGGGUAAUGACAGAAUCCAUGUCUAUUAUUUAUAUGACAGAAAAUAUUCUACCAUUCAUAAGUUUGAGCUUGGUGAGAUUUAUAAAUGUUUUUGAAAGAAGUCUCUUAUGCUCACCAAGGAUGCAUUUAUUUGAUCAAAAAUACUGUAAAAGAGCAAUAUUGUGAAAUAUUAUUACAAAUUAAAUUUACUGUUUUCUAUUUGAAUACUUUUUUGUGUGUAUUUUCCAGGAUUCUUUGAUGAAUAGAAAGUUCAAAAGAACAGCAUUUAUUUGAAAUAGAACUUCAGAUUCUAAGAGCUAUCUAAAAGUUUUAAAGGUCCCAUGACAUGCUGCUUUUUGGAUGCUUUUAUAUAGGCCUAAGUGGUCCCUAAUACUGUAUCUGAAGUCUGUUUCCCGAAAUUCAGCCUUGGUGCAGAAUUUCAGCCACUAUGAGCCAGUCCCACAAUGAGCUUUCCUUAGGACAUGCCAUUCUGUGUCUGUAGCUUUAAGGACGAGAGAGGCGGGGCAAGGUGGAGGGUGGGGGUGUGGCCUUAACCAGCUUGCGCUACCAUGCGCUAAUGUUGACAGUGGAUGUAUCGCAAUGGCUCAUAGACACGCAGUCAUUCAAGCUUUUCAGUUUGACCCAGAAUCUGAUCCGGAUGGAGAAGCACCGGAUGAAGAAGCUGCAACUCAGCGGCUACAGCAGGACGUCUCCGAAUGGCUGAUCAGGAGUCCUCCGAGCAUGACGACCGGCCGAUAGCCAAAGCGGUUACUCAUCACUGUGGAAAGAGGGGCUGUGGGACAGAAGCAAAGGCAUGAAGACAGUAUCACUAGCAAGUUUUGCUUGGCCUAGUCACUUUCUAUCUGAGCCAUUUGAGUGACUGCCCCUGUCUGAACAAGAAUGAUCCUUUGAAGCCCUCUCAGCUGGAAAAAUGUGAAUCCAUCCAUUGAGUCAUGUAAUGGUGGGGCUGCUUUGUCACUGGGCAAAACUGAAUUACCUGAGAAGGCCAUGACAAAGACACAGAUGGAGACGACCCAAGACACUCUGCUGUUGGUUUCAUUAAAGUCUGUCAUGAGGUCCUGGAGGAAGAUCCCAAAAAUCUUGAUGAUGC